AGUAAGUGGGCCGUUUUGUAAUGGUUUUGGGAAGGAGGGAAAAAGAUGACCAGCCCAGUGAGGUUUCAUCUGAUGGAAAUCUUCCCCAGCAAGCCGCGUCAGCCCCAAGCCGUGUGGCUGCAGUAGGUCCCUAUAUCCAGUCAUCUACUAUGCCUCGGAUGCCCUCAAGGCCUGAAUUGCUGGUGAAGCCAGCCCUGCCGGAUGGUUCCUUGGUCAUGCAGGCUUCAGAGGGGCCGAUGAAAAUACAGACACUGCCCAACAUGAGAUCUGGGGCUGCUUCACAAACUAAAGGCUCUAAAAUCCAUCCAGUUGGCCCUGAUUGGAGUCCUUCAAAUGCAGAUCUUUUCCCGAGCCAAGGCUCUGCUUCUGCACCUCAAAGCACUGGGAAUGCUCUGGAUCAAGUUGAUGAUGGAGAGGUUCCGCUGAGGGAGAAAGAGAAGAAAGUGCGUCCGUUCUCAAUGUUUGACGCAGUAGACCAGUCCACUGCCCCACCUUCCUUUGGUACUCUGAGGAAGAACCAGAGCAGUGAAGAU
rnacentral:sRNA from 1 species